CUUUAGCCCAGAUAGAAGCGGCAUCCUUUUGCAAAGCUGCCAGCCUUCAAAAGGCUGGCAGCUUUGCAAAAGAUAUAGCGGAUAGCUGUAAAUAGC
rnacentral:sRNA from 1 species